rnacentral:tRNA from 1 species
AUUGCCUAGGCGGAUUAGCGCGUUGGGUUUAGGACCCAAAUUAGGAUUUCCAGGCAAUUC